AGUGAACGCUGGCGGUAGGCCUAACACAUGCAAGUCGAACGGCAGCACAGUAAGAGCUUGCUCUUACGGGUGGCGAGUGGCGGACGGGUGAGGAAUACAUCGGAAUCUACUUUUUCGUGGGGGAUAACGUAGGGAAACUUACGCUAAUACCGCAUACGACCUACGGGUGAAAGCAGGGGACCUUCGGACCUUGCGCGAUUGAAUGAGCCGAUGUCGGAUUAGCUAGUUGGCGGGGUAAAGGCCCACCAAGGCGACGAUCCGUAGCCGGUCUGAGAGGAUGAUCAGCCACACUGGAACUGAGACACGGUCCAGACUCCUACGGGAGGCAGCAGUGGGGAAUAUUGGACAAUGGGCGCAAGCCUGAUCCAGCCAUACCGCGUGGGUGAAGAAGGCCUUCGGGUUGUAAAGCCCUUUUGUUGGGAAAGAAAAGCAGCAGGUUAAUACCCCGCUGCUCUGACGGUACCCAAAGAAUAAGCACCGGCUAACUUCGUG
rnacentral:rRNA from 1 species